rnacentral:sRNA from 1 species
GUCUAGCCCCGAUAGAAACGGCAUCCUUUUUUUAUGUUUGACGCUUGAACUGCGCUUAGGGUGACAUAAAAAAAGAUACAGUGGAUAGCGGGAUUAAGC